rnacentral:rRNA from 1 species
AGAAUGAACGUUGGCGGCGUGGAUUAGGCAUGCAAGUCGAACGGGCCGCAAGGCCAGUGGCGCAAGGGUGAGUAAGGCGAAGGUAACCAACCCCGCGGGUGGGCAUAGCCGAGGGAAACUUCGGGUAAUUCCCAGCGAUACGACGGGCCGGCAUCGGUCUGUCGUCAAAGAUUUAUCGCCGUGGGACGGGCCUUUGUGGUAUUAGGUUGUUGGCGGGGUGACGGCCCACCAAGCCUGCGAUGCCUACCGGGCGUGCGAGCGUGGCCCGGCACACUGGGACUGAGACACUGCCCAGACUCCUACGGGAGGCUGCAGUCGAGAAUCUUCGGCAAUGGGCGCAAGCCUGACCGAGCGACGCCGCGUGGAGGAUGAAGGCCUUCGGGUUGUAAACUCCUGUCGAGGGGGAGGAAGGCGCAAGCUUGACCGAUCCCUGGAGGAAGCACGGGCUAAGUUCGCGCCAGCAGCCGC